rnacentral:rRNA from 1 species
AGAACUUAGCAGAGAUGCUUUGGUGCCUUCGGGAACUCUGAGACAGGUGCUGCAUGGCUGUCGUCAGCUCGUGCUGUGAAAUGUUGGGUUAAGUCCCGCAACGAGCGCAACCCUUAUCCUUUGUUGCCAGCGGGUUAUGCCGGGAACUCAAAGGAGACUGCCAGUGAUAAACUGGAGGAAGGUGGGGAUGACGUCAAGUCAUCAUGGCCCUUACGAGUAGGGCUACACACGUGCUACAAUGGCGCAUACAAAGAGAAGCGACCUCGCGAGAGCAAGCGGACCUCAUAAAGUGCGUCGUAGUCCGGAUUGGAGUCUGCAACUCGACUCCAUGAAGUCGGAAUCGCUAGUAAUCGUAGAUCAGAAUGCUACGGUGAAUACGUUCCCGGGCCUUGUACACACCGCCCGUCACACCAUGGGAGUGGGUUGCAAAAGAAGUAGGUAGCUUAACCUUCGGGAGGGCGCUUACCACUUUGUGAUUCAUGACUGGGGUGAAGUCGUAACAAGGUAAGCGUAGUGCU